UGAGUUUUAUUAAAAUGAAUAUAUUUUAUUGAUUAUGCUGUUACAGUUGUCCCAAUUUUUCCCCUUUGGUCCCCUCCAUCAGGUACCACCCUUCCCUCCAACAAUCACAACCCACACCCUUAGUUCAUGUCCAUGGGUCAUGCAUAUAAGUUCUUUGGCUUCUCCCUUUCCUAUACUAUUCUUAAC